CAUUACAGAGAAGAAACAUGGUGAAGACCCAUCUGCCUCCAAGGCCUCCCUCUGCAUUUUCAGGAGAGGAGCUCCGACUUACUUGGCACCUGAAGCAGGUGGCGUCCUAAGGGCCAGGGGCAUCCUGAGCUCAGGUAGCAAGUUCAGGGUGAGUGGAGGCAAAGAAAGAAAAGGAGGGGCUGAAAUUAUUGCCAUGCUGAGCUUAUGCAUUGUCUUCUUACACAGGAAAGAAAUACUAGACUCCAGAAAUCUUUUCCUCCCCUCCUCCCAAAGACACACACACACACACACUUACAGAUACACAGUCGCGCACACACCCACACACACACAAACUCCUUUAAAUCCCUAGACCUUUUCCCUCAAUUUCCUUAUGAAAAGCUUCACUCAAGAUGUUAGUCCCCAGCCACCACAAAACAUGAGGGUUAAACCUGAAGUUCUCACAAGUCAUGCAUGACCUUAUGCAACACACCCAAGAGCACUCGGUGAAGAAUUUCACAUAUGCUGCAAAAGGGGAGAGAGGGGAACCUACAUUCAUCAAAUCACAGGCAUGCUUCUUGCAAGUUCUUAAUAGCAAAUCAAGGGCUAAAAGCCUAGAAAUGUGGACUCACCUCAGAAAUAGAAAAUAUUUGUUUUAGUUUGUACAUCUUGUAUUUUUAAGCCAACGACGCCUCAUUUCCUCUGCAGAAUCUUUUUCUUUAGUGAAAUAUCUUUGUGGGUUUUUUUUCUUUUUCAUUUUAUAGGAACUUUCUGUCUGAUUCUACCUUCUCCCCUGAUCUUGGUUUAUUGUUAAAAAUAAAUGCCUUCCUUUAAAGUAACCUCCCACCUUUUGUGCUGUGCUAGGAGAAAAAAAGAGGAAAGUUAGCUAUAAAGAAAACAAUGACUCUGGUGCCAGGAGGUGGGAAUGAUUUAAAAUGCCUCCAUCCAAUUGAGCAGAAAACCUGUGGCCCUUUGAAGCUGAACUCUGGAAGUCACACUGCACAUAAUUGGAAUCAGUGUGAAUAUCACAUGCAGCAAAAUGAGAAAAUGUCACUGACUUGUCCUUCUUUGGUGAAGAAAUGCUUACCUUUCUGUUCGAAGGGCUCAGAAGGACCAACUCAGAUGAGAGCAAUUUCUUCCCCAUCCUUUUACUGUGAGUCCCUGUGCCCCUCUUGAAAGGGGGCCUCACAUCAGAAAAAGCUAUGGGACAGAAUUGCCCCUCCAUUUUCUUCUUAAAUAGCCAUUCAUGACACACCAGAGGAUGCCUCCUGCAUUCAGGAGAGCGCUGCACAUGCCGAACCACACAUACCCAAGUGAGAUCGAGGGGAGGGAUGGAGGGACGGCCAGGAAGUUGGGUGGUUUGGGCCAGGAUGGAGCCCUUCUGUACCGGGAGUUCCGCUGUAGCCCAGUGAGUGAAGGAUCUGGUGUUGCUGCAACUACCACCAGGGGCUGGAAAUAGAAGAGGAGGAGCAGAGAUACUUCCACGUUAAGAUGGUGCCUCUGGUGGUUUUGCCUGGUCAUAGCCGAGAGGGACACUUGGAGCAUCACAGGACGGAUGGGGUAAUGGGACAGAAAUGGGAGAGUGGACUCAUCACCAGAGGCCUUGGGCAAGACAAGGUUACCGGAGCCAUUGAGGUGAGUGGGGAUGAGUGAGUCUCCGCAGUCCUGCCAUGACCCCGGAGCCACACCCCAGUGGCUGCAGGACUUGGUGGGCUCAACUCUCACUGGUCUUUUGUCACUCAGGCCUGUGUUUGCAUGCAGUAUUUUGCACUUCUUUUUCCGUGGCUUUCUGCAGUGGGCUGGGCCUUUCUUGGCCCCUUCCCCACUAUUUCCUCUCAGCUUGAGCCAGGUCUGGGAGGAAAGCGGUCCCCAGAUCCCACCUUGGUGUCCACGUGGUCCUCACACUCACGCAGGUAACUCCCUGAACUCUACAGCUGGCAGUGAUGGGAGUGAAGGGACAGUCCUUGCUAUCAAGCCUGACUUCCUGCACCCUGGCCAAAGAACCGGGGUCCUGCCUUUAGAAGCUCUCCCUGGGCCUCACGGGGCCAUGUUCAGCUCUGGUCCUGCCAUUUUGCUGAACUCGGCAUUUAGUGAGCAUCUCCCAGAGCCCAGUCCCAUGUCACCUGAUGCUUACUGAAGGCUAGCUAGAUGCCAAGCCUGCUGAGUAUUUUAACACAUCACCUCAUUUUUCAUAACAAACUCCUAUGUAGGUAUAACUAUUAAUGCUAUUUUACUAAGGCCUGCCUUUUAGGAGCUCAUGAAUGAGGAGGAGGCAUCUAGCUACAAUAUAGUAUGAAUAUCUCAUGUAGUCAAGAGUGUCUUCAGGAGUUUCCUGGUGGCCUAGCAGUUAAGGAUCUGAUGUUGUCCCUGCUAUAGCCCGGGUCACUGUUGUGGUGACGGUUCGAUCCCAUGCCCAGGAAUUUGCACAUGCCAUGGGUACAACCACAAAAAAAAGGGGGGGAAAGCAUCUCUAUACCACCUAGCUGACAGGUUCUUCUGGGUAAUGUACACAAGACAGGCAAGGUCCCUGCUCCCCUGUGGCAGAUGCAGGCCAGCUGGAGACAGAUAAGCAGGGACAGUGGAGAUGGCCAUGGUAGUGCCUGCUCCUUGGUGGCAGGACAUCACAGGGGCUUUCCCACAAGCCUGGGGGCAGAGGGAACCUUCUGGAGAAGGUAAGUAUUCCUGUUUUCUACCAACAUUUAGCAGCUUAAGACAAUAUCUCAGCAUCCAGCACCACUCUAGAUUAGCUGGGCGGAUCCCUUGGGGGGAUCUAUCAGAUGCUGGGCAGAGCUGGGCUGGGCUGGGGUCUCAGAGGCUGGAUGCUGAGAUGGCUCCCUGACUUACAACAGGUCUGAUGGGACAGGGGGUUGACUGGGCAUCUCCACUCCCUGGGAGGUCUCCCCAUCUCUUGGCCAACAGGGCAAGGUAGGCUCAGGCCCCGAACAGCUUCUGCAGUGUCUGACUGCCUCCAGAAGCCAUAUUCCAAGAGUUCAUUGCAGAAAGCACAGGGCUUCCUUCUUCUGGCUUUGGGAGCUCCUACAGAUGUUUAUCUCACACUCUAUUGGUUAUAAGUGAAUGCCGGGUCAGCCUGAAUUUAAGAGGAGAAGCCCUAUGUUCAAAAGGCAUGAAUACAGGAGGUUAGCUCACUGGUAGCCAUGGAGACAGGGUGCACAGGAGGGAGUGGGGCUGCAAUAACAGAGCACAGGGGCUUCUCAGGUAGGCAUAGGAAAAGUUGUUAUUGACUGAGUAUCAACUCAUUAGGCAACAGACACAUCACAUUGUGAUAUUUUAAUAUACUGCAUGCAUAGUUCAAACAUACACCUAACUAUAACCAUCCUACAAGGUGAAUAUUCUAACCUUGGUUUUAAAAGUGGGUGCUCAGAUCUAUAGCACAUACAUGACUGCUCACAGUUCCUUGCAGUGGCCACACUAGGGUUUCCAAUAAAGUAAGGUUGAAUUGAGCUAUCUUCAAGGUCACUUCUGCUUAGACGGUCAGCAGAGACUUCGUAGAGGAGGUGAUGCCUUAAGAGUGUUUGCUACGGGUACAGCCCUAAAAAGACAAAAUAAAAAUAAAAACUAAAUAUAGAAAUACCAUGUGAUCCAGCAAUCUCAAUCCUGGGCAUAUAUCUGGAUACAACUCUAAUUCAAAAAGAUAUGUAAAUAACAUAAAUGUCCAUCGACAGAUGAAUGGAUAAAGGAGAUAUGAUGCAUAUACACAAUGAGAUACUACUCAGCCAUAAAAAAGGAACAAAAUAAUGCCAUUUCCAGCAACAUGGAUGGACCUAGAGAUGAUCACACUAAGUGAAGUUAGUCAGACGGUGAAAGACACCACUUAUAUUUGGAAUCUUAUUUUUAAAAUGAUACAGAAGAUCUUAUUUCUAAAAUGGGAACAAACUCACAGAUUUCAAAACCAGUCUUAUGGUUACCACAGAUGAAACCAUGGAGAGGAGGAAAGAAUUGGGAGGGUGGGAAUAACAUAUUCACAUGACUGUAUAACACAGAUGACUAACGGGAACCUACUGUAUAGCACAGGAAAAUCUACUCAAUAGUUUGUAAUAACAUACAUGGAAAAAAAGAAUGGACAUAUGUAUAUGUAUGACCAAUUCACUUUGCUGAACACCUGAAACUAACACAACAUUGUACAUCAACUAUAUGCCAAUAAUUUUUAAUAAUUUAAAAAUAAAAAAUAAAAUGUACUGUAUAAACACAUAAAAAUAAAUGCAUAAACAGCGUUUAUGCUCCCUCCUUCCAGACGAUGCUGCCAAGCCCCACAUCAGACCCUCAGCAUCUUGCAGCAGCCUCUCCACUGCUUUCUCUCCCUCCAGGCUCAGCUCCUCUGGAUAAUCUCCAAACUAUAGCCCCCAAUGUUUUCCUAAAAGGCAGCCUCCAUCUUUCACUAUGAGAUUCAGUAGUCUAAUAUUGGAAGUUCAGACUCCAGAACACACUUUGUGAUGUGUUUUUUGCAUCUCUCUUGUCCCACCACCCACUGUCCUUCCUACACACGUACCUGCUUGCCUGAGCCCUGCAAGUCCCCAUACCCCCAGCCCACCUCCAAUCUGUCCAUGCUAUUCUCUUAUUCUCUCUGCCUGCAGUAUCCCUACCUCUCUCAGCUUCUGGACAAGAGUCUGCCUGGGUGAGAGUCAAUCUGCACUGUGGAAAUCAACCUUGUUCCAGCUCCACUGCCCCCUCCCUAAUAUCACAGUACCUUCUACUGUCCAUUUGCCUUUCAGAGCCAUCCUGGGGAAUAAAGAAAGACACAUUCAAAGAGAAUUACUGUCCCUGCCUGUCUCUCCAUUCCUAACACCUUUCCCAAUCACACACCUGCCUUUGUAGAAGCAUGGCUAUGACGGACACAUACAUCCAUGGGUGCAAAAUAACCUUGAAUCAAUUUUAGUGGAUGUGGGCACAGGGACUGUGCAAAGAUUGGCAACAUCACAGGUUUGCUCAAGGCCAUACCUGGUGUUUUCCUACUUUCUAAAUCCCUCACGCCUCAGUCCCAAACUGAGCUUGCUUUGAAUGCCUGGCUGCUCUAUAUGAAAUAAAGGCUGCUCAGAGUCCCUUGGUGGCUCAGACGGUUAAAGAUCCAGCGUUGUCACUGCUGUGGCACAGGUUAGAUCCCUUGCCCAGGAACUUCUGCAUGCCAGAAGUACAGCCAAAAAAAUAACUAAAAUUUUAAAUAAAAUAAAAACAGCUAAAGCUUCUGUGCCCAGGGUAGAAUAUUCUGGUCAUCAGAAGUCUGUUGGUAAAGAGACCCCCGUUGACCUUUUAUCAGGGCCCAGGUUGCCUCAUUUCUUUCCAGUAUGUCCAAGAUUUAUUCUGUUUCAAAUACUCUCUGGGAACCAAAAUUUGGUAAAAGUAGAUUACAUUUAGAGAAAUAGUCUACCUGGCACAUAUUUUGAGUACCAUCUUAUUUAAGCCUCUCUCAUUUUGAAAUAUUUUCUCUGCCAUCAUUCAGGUGACAUCAAGGCUCAGAAGAAAAAAAAAAAAUGUGACUUGCUCAUGGUCACAUGACUGGUGACGCCCCCAGCCCAGGUGCCACAGACUCAGAUUCCAGCUCUAUGCACCAGCUCACUACCCAAAUACACAGAACAUUCCUAUCAACUUCCCAUGCCCUUUUAUACAUUAACUUUUCUUCUAGCUUCAGCAAAGACGCUAUUACCGGUUUCUAUUAUCUGCAGACACUCACUGCAGGCAAUUUCUUUAGGAAAACACCCUGUCUGUGUCAUGAUAAGGAAUGCGCACCAAAGGCUUGCUAUUUGCUUUUUCACCUCUCUUUGUCUUUUGACAGCGUAUCUUUUUCUAAACCCCACUUUAUUGCUGGUAUUAACACCCUCCUAUUUUUAGGAAAUGACUUCUUAGGGUUUCUCUGAUGCCCCAGAAACUGUUCCUCUCAAAGUCGCUUUCUAUGAUACAAUCUUUCCAGCAGAACUAAAUAAUUGUUUGAAUGAAUGGUCAGUAGUUUGAAGCCUUUAAUUGAGCAGCAAAAGACACAGUUAGGAUGUACUCCUCAAAACAGGAUCCAGAAAACAAGAAGCUGCAACAUUUG
rnacentral:lncRNA from 1 species